AACGAACGCUGGCGGCAGGCCUAACACAUGCAAGUCGAGCGGCACCUUCGGGUGUAGCGGCGGACGGGUUAGUAACGCGUGGGAACGUGCCCUUCUCUACGGAAUAGCCUCGGGAAACUGAGAGUAAUACCGUAUACGCCCUUUGGGGGAAAGAUUUAUCGGAGAAGGAUCGGCCCGCGUCUGAUUAGAUAGUUGGUGGGGUAAUGGCCUACCAAGUCUACGAUCAGUAGCUGGUUUUAGAGGAUGAUCAGCAACACUGGGACUGAGACACGGCCCAGACUCCU
rnacentral:rRNA from 1 species